rnacentral:lncRNA from 1 species
CUCCCAUGGGCUCUCAGAAGGCGGGAAAAAGCUGAACAAUGUAAUUCCAUCCCCAGGCUGAAACACAUUAGCGCGUUUGGCAAGUGCUCUAUCAGAUGGCCAUUAGACUGAGGCUCGUGCAUGAGGGGAUAGCAUGCUUUUACUUUCACUCUCUUUGUAAUAAAAAACGAUUUCCCGGUCAGAAUAUUAUCGCUUUUUUACGAGAAAAAUGGCAUAAAAAUUUAUUUUAAACAGCGGUUGACAUGCUUCGAAGUACGGUAAUGGAAUAUUUAGACAUUUUUUGUCACGAAAUGCGCCAUGCUCAUCACCCUUAUUUACCCUUUCGGAUAGUGUCUUGAACGCACGAACAAAACGCCGCUAUUUGGAUAUAACAGUGGAUUAUUUGGGACCAAACCAACAUUUGUUAUUGAAGUAGAAGUCCUGGGAGUGCAUUCUGACGAAGAACAGCAAAGGACCUGAGCCCUAGGACCAUGCCUCAGGACUACCUGGCAUGAUCACUCCUUGUUGUCCCCAGUCCACUUGGCCGUGCUGCUGCUCCAGUUUCAACUGUUCUGCCUGCGGCUAUGGAACCCUGACCUGUUCACUGUGAUUACUAUUAUUUGACCAUGCUGGACAUUUAUGAACAUUUGAACAUCUUGGCCAUGUUCUGUUAUAAUCUCCACCCGGCACAGCCAGAAGAGGACUGGCCACCCCUCAUAGCCUGGUUCCUCUCUAGAUUUCUUCCUAGGUUUUGGCCUUUCUAGGGAGUUUUUCCUAGCCACCGUGCGUGUGUGUGUGUGUGUGUGUGUGUGUGUGUGUGUGUGUGUGUGUGUGUGUGUGUGUGUGUGUGUGUGUGUGUGUGUGUGUGUGUGUGUGUGUGUGUGUGUGUGUGUGUGUGUGUGUGUGUGUGUGUGUGUGUGUGUGUGUGUGUGUGUAUCUCUGUGUGUGUCUGCUACAGUAUUCUCCUGAAGAUAAAGAAUCAGAUCAGAGAGACAAAGGGAGGGAUUGAACCAGAGAGAAAGAGGGAGGGAUUAAACCAGAGAGACAGAGCUGGGGAUUGAAUAUUCAGGGAGAUAAUGUGUUAAUACCAAGCCACCACCAGAGAGACAGAAGGAGAGAGGGAGAUGAGCAUUAUGAAUUGAAGAACAGAACACAGAGAAUAUCAAUGUAGUUUCUAUGCUUAGCUGCUCCACUGCUGCAAGGCAAACCUCACACAUUUCAAUAAACAUGCACCCUAUUCCCUACAUAGAGCACUAUGUAUGUCACCACUACACCAUGUAGGCACCACAUUCUCAUGAAGUUGAGUACUCUUUAUAGUCUCUUCACAAUACAUACUAAUGACCG